GACGCGGGGCUCGAACCCACGAACCGUGAGAUCGUGACCUGAGCCGAACUUAAGAGUCGGAUGCCCAAGCGACUGGGCAACCCAGGCGCCCCUUGAAUGAAUCUGUUAAACGAGAUGCCACAUCCACCCCUUAUCCGACGCAGCCGCAACAGAAGCCGUUGGUCACCGGAAGGCUCGUGGUUGUGGGGCCAUCACCUGUGAGGUUGUCCACCCAGAUGUGGUGACUGCUCUCCUCGGCCUGCCGCCCUGCUGCUCUCUUUCCAGAAUCUACCUUGUCCGGACAACAUGCUAAUGAGCUAACUGAGAAGGUCUGACUUACUGGCAGCGUUUCUUGGUGAAACCCACUUGCUCCAUAGAAGAGCCGGCACGGGCAGAGACCUGAGUGACAGGACCGUGUGUGGAUGCCAAGCGGCGUUGGGACCAUUUAGUUCGAGGGGUUGGUUGUCCAGGUCCAGCACCACCUCCCCACGCGCGACUAGCGACCGCGCCAAAGCGUGUGGGUAUGGUUUUCGAGGUCGUCGGGAGACGCGGCGUGGGAGGCGGGGACGAGGGGCCGACUCCCCUCGGGCCACGGGGGACGGCCGCACCCCACGCGGACGAAGCGCCAGCGGGCUCAGCACCGGCCCGCGAGCGAGGGGAGCCUGGCGAUGCCCUUCCGAGGGGACCACGGUCAGCCCUCCAAGACCCACUUGUGCUGCUUCCGUUCGGUAGCGAAUCAAGAGUUGCCCAAAACAGCAGGAACGAAGGCUUUAAGAAUCCACCCCUCCCCACCACCCCCCCCCCCAGCUCCCUGAAGGAAGUUGUCACAUCUGUGUGUGACGCCUGGAGCUGCAGCAGCAUCUUGUGACCGCGAGGGGACAGCCCCAUCUGCGGUCGAUGGGGGAGAGCAAAAAGAGCCCGGACCCUUGGAGAGUUCCCAGGGACGCUGGUCCCAGGUGGGACCGCCUACCAGCGGCUGUCACAUUCGGCAAGAAAAAGCCACUCUCUCAUUGUUCAUCCACUUCUACUUAUGUAUUCUUUUAGUGUUUAUUUUUGAGAGAGAGAGAGAGAGAGAGAGAGAGAGCAAGAGAGAGAGCGCAUGAUUGGGGAAGAGGCAGAGACAGAGGGAGACAGGGCAUCCCAAGCAGGUUUCUCGCUGUCAGCACAGGGCCCGACACGGGGCUCAGUCCCACAAACAGUGAGAUCGUGGGCUGAGCCGAAAUCAAGAGUCAGAUGCUCAACCAACUGAGCCACCCAGGCCCCCUGUUUGAUCCACCUUUAAUCGACUGCCCUGGGCCCUCUUGUCAUACGUACUCUUGCCUACGGAACGGUCCCCGUGUCGCAGACCCACUGCGAGAAUUAAGUGAGGCGAGGAGGCUUGUGAAGCUCCGAGCCAGUCCCCCGUCCUGUGGUGUCGGAUACGCGUCAGCCCCACGUGGCUGGAACACGAAGCCCUUCCACAUCGCCACCGCGAUGACACGAGGGUAAGUCAGAGGCCCUCACGGAGCACGGGCCACGUUCAAGGCUCUGGUUCGCACGCGAGGUUGGCACUCCGUCCCCGUCCCCGUCCCCGUACGGGGGCAUCAGAGGUGCUGGCUGAUAAUCUUCAUCUUACACACCAGGAAGCUGAGGCACAGAGAGGGUGAGGAACUUGCCCCAGGCCCCCAGCAAGAACGCACUGGAGCUGGGGCUCGAACCAGGCCUGCGUCCAGAGCUCCAGCGCGAGACCGCCCUGCCCGGCCCCGUCCCCGGUGGACCCGCGAGCCCUGCACAGGGACCUCUCCCUCCGCUCCUGGACGUCCCAGCUCAGACAGAGCUUCCACUCCCGUGUCUCGCCUCCUCCCUGUGUCUGCUUGGUCCCGAGGCGCUCCCCGGGGAGGCGGGCAGAGCCAAAAAACCCUGGCUCGCCUGCCUUGCUAAUAGAACUAGAAUGUUCUUGUCGAGAUGGGUUUCUUUUGGGGAUGGCCAAGCAAGCCACGUACUCAGCUGCUGGAGGCAGAGGACAAACACGAUGUGUCAUCGGGGACUCGGCCACGGCAGCUGACACUUGUCCCUCGCUCUUCGGGGCCGGCUGUGCGAGGAGGAGACUGUUCUUACGCCAAAUCCAGCAUCGCCGAGGGAGUUUUCAUAAUUGCUGAUCACUCCGGGCUGCCCUCCCACGUUCCUGUCACUUCCCUUCUUCUCCCGAGGGGACUCGCAGGGUCAGCUUGCGGACCUCAGUCGCUGGGACGUCGCAGGCCCUCACCCUGUGGGGAGGGGGCCCUGGCGGUCUUCUCUGAUCCCUUGACAUCUCCUGCUUCAGGGAAUCCCACAGACUGGGCGGAAUCUGUGUCAGAAACUGUUUCUGUUUGCUCUUGAACAUGAUCCCCGGCUCUCUGUGGGUUUCCUUGGCCGGCGUCAACCUGGAGGGCUGGUUCCCUCUGGAGCGCUAGACCCCAACACUAGUAACAUCGCCUCUGAGCUCCCCCGGGGCUGCAGCGAAGGGAGAGAAGCCAGGAGGCGGCCGCUGGGUCCCAUCAGCCACGGCGCCGUGGCCCGCGGGUGCGGGUGCGGGUGACAGCAUCCUGCAGGACGCGGCUCGCGUGCCUUAUGACUCAGUGCGGGAGAUAAUUGCACACAGAUCUGUUUUCUUUUUCUUCCUAUCUGGUUAGCUGCAGCUCCAAGAUACCCACCCUUCCCUGCAUGAUUUGCCAUCAGGCAAAUGUCUGUUUUGUUGUGUGCUUGUAAAUCCCUGUCUUGAUUUUCUCACUGUGUCCAGCCGCUGUGGCUUGUGGCGGGGAGGGGCACGUCUGCAUUUUGGCCCCCUUGGACAUCCCAUCUUGGGGAUCUAGCUUCUUCCGUGCUAGUCACAGAUGGAUGACAUCAUAUUUUGGGUUGUGCUGACCUUUUGGCGACUCAAGAGUAGGCAGAACACAGGAUUCCAGGUGGGCUGCUGGGGGCUGGGGGCUGGGGGUCCCCGUCCUCACGUGGUGCCUUAGGCUGUGAAAGCCAGAGCGAGCAGGUGUGGUCUAAGGAUUCUGCCUCCUGGGUCAACCCCAUCAACCGUCUCUCUCUCUCUAUCGCCAUCUCAAGCCCCCUCGUAUAACUUUCCCUGCUACGAGAUGGCAUUGAAUUUGACCAGAGUGUGACCAAGUCACAAAUACAUUCCCUUUGGAAAUGUCCUCACUGUGCCUCUCCUUCUAGAGAGUCCACAUUUUCAAGCAAACUAGAAGUCAUUCCCUUUUCAGCUCCUGUCUUUCUCCCGUCCUUCGGGCUGUUGGUUCGUUUUUUUUCUUCCUACCGCCAGUUGGCAUUAGAUCCCAUCUGAUCGUGCAUCUGACUUUCGGUUUGCUGCGGUUUCCUCCCACCGCGAUGGCAGCAUCGGGACAGAUGCAAACCUGAUGGGUGCUCCGCCCUCUGUGUCGAGAACUGUACCCCAGGCCGUGCAGGAACUCAGCUGGUACUUGGGGAUCGAUUGCAUGGAGCCACUCACUAAAUACGAAUCAGUGACAGUCCCGUGGUGCAUGUGGGGCACCGAGGUCAACUGUGACGAGUUGGGGACGGCUGGGUGAGGCGCUGUGCUGUACACAUGUUGCACGCCCGUGACCGUGUUGAACGGGGGGGGGGGGGGGGAGGGCAGCGGGGCAGUCAGCGAGCAGGGCUCUGUGGUCCCUCCGUCUGGGUUCAAUUCUGGCCCCAGUUCUCGGUACAUCCCUGCCCUUGGGCAGGUUGCUCAGGCCCCUCUGGGUCAAUUUCCUCAUCUGUAAAUCCCCCCCCUCCCCCCCCGCCUGGGGAUGAUGUUAGUACCUAUCUCACCAGGACGUUGUCCAGAUUAAAUAAGGUAAUGCGUGCAGCACACUUAAGAGGUGCUCCGUGCAGGGUGUGGGCUCAGCAAAGACAGCCGUUACUAAUCUUUACAGCAGCCCUACUAAGCGGGCACCACUAUGAUCCCGAGUUAGCAGACUGGGAAACUAAGCAAGCUCAUAAGCAGACAGAGCGAAACAACACCCACCCUGUGCUCAGCGAGUCUGCAUUUAAUAUGGGACAAACGCACAAAAAACUCGGCUCUGCAUUGCAUUGUGCUUAAAAAAAAAAAAAAAAAAAGAAAAGAAAAAACCAGAUGCAGGCAAGGUGCUUCAGAUCCCAUUCCUUAUGGAAGGACAGGUUCCAAAGCCCACGCUCGGGUCACAGCGCUAUAUUCCAUGGCUUCUGGGACGCCUUGGCAUGAGCUCUGUGUCAUUCGAAGAAAAUCCCCGGUUACGCAAGCGCACGGGCCGGGGUGCGGCCUCAGGAACAAGCAGCUUAGUUAAGCAUGUGACACAAACGGGCAGCUUGAAGACGGCUCUGUGAGUGGAAGAGGCUCGUCACAACCCAGCAGCAUCUGCAGGGACGGUUUAGGCUAAGCGUGCUGUUGCGGUUGGUUCACGGGUUGGCUUGGUGAUGGGGCUGCCUCGUGGUCUCCAGCCGACGUCUGUUGACUGACGGUGUCCCGUUUCUGCUUUAAGGGCGCCGAACCUGGGCGCCGAGAAGACACCUGGCGGAGUCCCCAUGUGCUGCUUAUGCCUCGAGCUCCGCCGAAAUGCUCCUUGCGAGACCAAAGAGCAGUAGCAAGCUGAGACCUGUCUCACACUGAGGGCCUGUGAGGGGUAGUCAUUACCGGCCUGGCCUCUGAAUCUUGCCGAUGGUGGUAUUUAUAUUCUUAAAACGUGGCUGAGCAGACAGCCAUUUCCUUGGGGAGUUAAGUCAUCAGCUAACAGUGUCUGCAAAUGGCCCCACGGAGCCUGCCAGGGAGAAGGUUCAAGGGCACCGAUGGCUCCGGGCGUCACUGGGCCACACACGGGGAACGGGAAGAAAAGGUUAGCCGUAGUAGUCACGUGCCAUGCGUCGUGCACGACUUGCGUAUAAGACGACUCAUGAAUAGGAAGGAUUAUCCCCAUUUUACAGAAAAGCAAACUGAGUCUCAGAGAGGUGAAGUAAUCUGCCUAGGUCACACAGCUGGGAUGCUGGAUGUCUGAAGUCUGGGAUAUCUGAUUCCAGAUUCCAUACGCUCACCCUCAGUUGACUCACAAUUCUUCUGUUUCGGGAAACAGGGAAGAAGACAGCCUCAGGAGAAGAGGGAGGAGACUGUGAGGGAACAGGAGAAUCGGAGGAAGAAAGGGGCGCCGGUGUUGGGGAGUGAGGUCGGGUGGCCUUGAUGAUUUGCACAGGCCUCCCAGAGGAGCCCCAGCCUGUCCGGCAGGAGCGGCAGCUUGCAGCCAGCCACAGAGCUCCAGGAAGAAAUCGAGGGGGUGUGGCCACAGAAGCCACUUCAAAAGCAACCCCUCGGUUCUGCCUCUGGUGUCAGCAGGACACUUAGGUUGCAAGUGACAGAAAAGCUAAUCGAGCCAGCUUAACAGAAAAACAGAAAAAUAAACAUGGGCUCCCUCAACU